rnacentral:rRNA from 1 species
ACGGCGAGUGAACCGGGAAGAGCUCAAAUUUGAAAUCUGGCGUGCUCAGUGCGUCCGAGUUGUAAUCUAUAGAGGCGUUUUCCGUGCCGGACUGUGUCUAAGUCCCUUGGAACAGGGUAUCAAAGAGGGUGAUAAUCCCGUACUUGACACAAUGACCGGUGCUCUGUGAUACGUCUUCUACGAGUCGAGUUGUUUGGGAAUGCAGCUCAAAAUGGGUGGUGAGUUCCAUCUAAAGCUAAAUAUUGGCGAGAGACCGAUAGCGAACAAGUACCGUGAGGGAAAGAUGAAAAGCACUUUGGAAAGAGAGUUAAACAGUACGUGAAAUUGUUGAAAGGGAAACGAUUGAAGUCAGUCGUGACUGAGAGGCUCAGCCGGUUCUGCCGGUGUAUUCCCCUCAGUCGGGUCAACAUCAGUUUUGUUCGGUGGAUAAGGGCAGCUGGAAGGUGGCACCUCCGGGUGUGUUAUAGCCAGCUGUCGCAUACAUCGAAUGAGACUGAGGAAUGCAGCUCGCCUUUAUGGCCGGGGUUCGCCCACGUCCGAGCUUAGGAUGUG